rnacentral:rRNA from 1 species
UGCCAGCCGCCGCGGUAACACGGGGGGCGCAAGCGUUAUUCGGAAUUAUUGGGCGUAAAGCGCGCGUAGGUGGCUCGACAAGUCAAUGGUGAAAGACCCCGGCCCAACCGGGGAAGUGCCGUUGAAACUGUCUUGCUUGAGGACGGGAGGGGAGAGUGGAACUCUUGGUGUAGCGGUGAAAUGCGUAGAUAUCAAGAGGAACGCCGGUGGCGAAAGCGACUCUCUGGACCGUUCCUGACACUGAGGUGCGAAAGCUAGGGGAGCAAACAGGAUUAGAUA